GAUGAACGCUGGCGGCGUGCCUAUACAUGCAAGUCGAGCGAACAGACGAGGAGCUUGCUCCUCUGACGUUAGCGGCGGACGGGUGAGUAACACGUGGAUAACCUACCUAUAAGACUGGGAUAACUUCGGGAAACCGGAGCUAAUACCGGAUAAUAUAUUGAACCGCAUGGUUCAAUAGUGAAAGACGGUUUUGCUGUCACUUAUAGAUGGAUCCGCGCCGCAUUAGCUAGUUGGUAAGGUAACGGCUUACCAAGGCAACGAUGCGUAGCCGACCUGAGAGGGUGAUCGGCCACACUGGAACUGAGACACGAUCCAGACUCCUACGGGAGGCAGCAGUAGGGAAUCUUCCGCAAUGGGCGAAAGCCUGACGGAGCAACGCCGCGUGAGUGAUGAAGGUCUUCGGAUCGUAAAACUCUGUUAUUAGGGAGGAACAAAUGUGUAAGUAACUAUGCACGUCUUGACGGUACCUAAUCAGAAAGCCACGGCUAACUACGUG
rnacentral:rRNA from 1 species